rnacentral:rRNA from 1 species
GAGCGAGAAAAGGGGGGCAACUCCCUGAGUAAAGCGGCGCACGGGUGAGUAACACGUGGGUAAUCUGCCCUGAAGUGGGGAAUAACACCGGGAAACCGGUGCUAAUACCGCAUACGAUCACGGAGUCUGCGGAUUUUGUGAUGAAAGGAGCAAUUCGCUUUAGGAGGAGCCUGCGGCUGAUUAGCUAGUUGGUGAGGUAAUGGCUCACCAAGGCUACGAUCAGUAUCCGGUCUGAGAGGACGGUCGGACACACUGGAACUGAGACACGGUCCAGACUCCUACGGGAGGCAGCAGUGGGGAAUUUUUCGCAAUGGGGGCAACCCUGACGAAGCAACGCCGCGUGGGUGAUGAAGUCUCUUGGGACGUAAAACCCUUUCGACGGGGAAGAAACCGCAAGGUUGACGGUACCCGUAGAAGAAGCCCCGGCUAACUCCGUG